UCUAUACGUCUGUCUCAAUCUCGGAUUUUGUAUGUUAUCAAUCAGCUCCAAAAAAUCUUCAUCAUCAGUUAAUUCUCCCAAAAAAUCCAUUUUAUAUAAUAUAUAAAUAUGAAUAACUUAUGAUUAAUAUACCAAUAAUGUCAAAAAAAUAUAUAAAUGUCAAUAAAAUGAAGCAUCAAGCUUUAAACAGUCAACAUCGAUGAGUAGACAGUCAACUGAACUGGCUUUGAACCGACAAGGUAUCAGCGUUCAACUGAUCUUGGUUCUGAACUGUAGAUUAAUAGUGAACGAGGUUGGUACAACGCUUAGAACAUUAAUAAGAUUCUAAGGUACAACGUAAUUUUGUCAUUGAACCACAGUCAACGUUGAACUGUUGGUGAACUUGGAAUGUACAAUUGGCCCUAAAUAAUACAGAGAUCAGCGAUGAUGUGGCAACAAAAUGAACUGAAUGUGUAGAUUUACCUACCCUUCUCAAAAAAUGUUUUUCAAUUAGGCACAA